rnacentral:rRNA from 1 species
GCGGUGGAGUAUGUGGUUUAAUUCGAUGCAACGCGAAGAACCUUACCUCGUCUUGACAUCCCGGAGACCCUUAGGAAACUAGGGGGUGCUUCCAUCUGGAAGAAUCUGGAGACAGGUGCUGCAUGGCUGUCGUCAGCUCGUGUCGUGAGAUGUUGGGUUUAAGUCCCGCAACGAGCGCAACCCUUGCCUUUAGUUGCCAGCAGUUCGGCUGGGCACUCUAAAGGGACUGCCGGUGUUAAACCGGAGGAAGGUGGGGGAUGACGUCAAGUCCUCAUGGCCUUUAUGACCAGGGCUACACACGUACUACAAUGGCCGAUACAAAGGGCAGCGACACUGCGAGGUGAAGCCAAUCCCGUAAAAUCGGUCUCAGUCCGGAUUGGAGUCUGCAACUCGACUCCAUGAAGUUGGAAUCGCUAGUAAUCGUGGAUCAGCAUGCCACGGUGAAUACGUUCCCGGGCCUU